GACGAACGCUGGCGGCGUGCUUAACACAUGCAAGUCGAACGGAAAGGCCCUGCUUGCAGGGUACUCGAGUGGCGAACGGGUGAGUAACACGUGGGUGAUCUGCCCUGCACUUCGGGAUAAGCCUGGGAAACUGGGUCUAAUACCGGAUAGGAGCCAUUUUUAGCGUGAUGGUUGGAAAGUUUUUUCGGUGUAGGAUGAGCUCGCGGCCUAUCAGCUUGUUGGUGGGGUAAUGGCCUACCAAGGCGGCGACGGGUAGCCGGCCUGAGAGGGUGGACGGCCACAUUGGGACUGAGAUACGGCCCAGACUCCUACGGGAGGCAGCAGUGGGGAAUAUUGCACAAUGGGCGCAAGCCUGAUGCAGCGACGCCGCGUGGGGGAUGACGGCCUUCGGGUUGUAAACUCCUUUCGCUAGGGACGAAGCUUUUUGUGACGGUACCUAGAUAAGAAGCACCGGCUAACUACGUG
rnacentral:rRNA from 1 species